GUCAAACCAGGAUCUUCACUACAGCAGUAUGCUGUAUGGGAAGCAGAGAAAGGAGGAGGCAGAGAGAGAAGGGAGGGAGGAAGGAAGAGGGCAUCAGCUGAUACACACAAGAAAUGGACUGUCCCCCUCUGUCCCUGUCUCGUCCCUGUCUCCUCCCUGCAACCUGGGGUGCUAGGCAAGAAAACAUGACACAACUAAAAUUACAGUGGAACAGGACUUGCAGGAGACAACAGCCACACUGACCAUAGCUAACAACUAAGGAGAUAAUUCAACAGCAUCAAAAUUGAACUUACGAUGUGAAUAGAGACUGUGUAGUGACCAAAUGUAUCACUUUUCCUCAAAUGCCCAUGUUGUAUUGAUGCUGAUGUGACUGUCAGUAGUGCUGAAACCACUGACCUGCCUUCAACUCCUCUGGGGAGGCAGUGACAACUGGCAGUGACACGGAUGAUGCUUGACUGAGUCUGCAGGCCCCAUUAGUGGCAGCCAUGCAGAACCACCACUGGAGCUCCUGUACAGAGAGUAUAGGACAGCCAGGCUGAGACAUGGAAGAGCUGGGUGGAGCACAUCCUGGCAGAGCCCCAGCCCUUUCCCCUGACUGGGCUGACAGACAAUGAAGAGCUACACUGUGAAGCCUGGCCUGUACCAAGGAGCUGCACUGUGGUGCCCCACCUGUAUGAAGGAGCUACACUGUGGUGCCCCACCUGUAUGAAGGAGCUGCACUGUGGAGCCCCACCUGUACAAAGGAACUGCACUGUGGAGUCUGGCCUGGCCUGUACCAAGAAGCUGCAGUGUGGAGCCCGGCCUGUACCAAGGAACUGUACUGUGGAGCCCCACCUGUACCAAGGAGCCUGGCCUGUACCA